ACAAACUUGGUCAUUUAGAGGAAGUAAAAGUCGUAACAAGGUUUCCGUAGGUGAACCUGCGGAAGGAUCAUUAACGUAUCUCUGACGGCGAGGGUGCGCCCGGCUCCGGACCUCUCGGGUCCGUGCAGCGGGCGAGCCCGAGCCGCUCGACCUUUGCAAACCCACCGUGCACUUUUGUCGGCGAGGGGUCAACCGCCCCGAGCCGGAUCACAAACUCUUCUCUACUGAACGAAACGCGGCCGACGCGCCGUCUAAACUUUAACAACUUUCAACAACGGAUCUCUUGGCUCUCGCAUCGAUGAAGAACGCAGC
rnacentral:misc_RNA from 1 species